CCUACGGGAGGCAGCAGUGAGGACUAUUGGUCAAUGGGCGCGAGCCUGAACCAGCCAAGUAGCGUGAAGGAUGACUGCCCUACGGGUUGUACACUUCUUUUAUAAAGGAAUAAAGUGAGGCACGUGUGCCUUUUUGUAUGUACUUUAUGAAUAAGGAUCGGCUAACUCCGUGCCAGCAGCCGCGGUAAUACGGAGGAUCCGAGCGUUAUCCGGAUUUAUUGGGUUUAAAGCGCUCGUAGGCGGUAUGUCAAGUCAAGGGUGAAAUCCCCGCGCUCAACGUGGGAACUGCCUUUGAAACUGGCAAACUGGAGUGUGUGAGAGGAUAGUGGAAUUCCAGGUGUAGGAGUGAAAGCCGUAGAUAUCUGGAGGAACAUCAGUGGCGAAGGCGACUAUCUGGCACAUAACUGACGCUGAGGAGCGAAAGCGUGGGUAGCAAACAGGAUUAGAUACCCGGGUAGUC
rnacentral:rRNA from 1 species